UGUGAGUAUAUUGUAUGGAAUAAGGAGUGUAAUGAAAUGGAAUAAGAAAAUUGUGUGGAUAAAGGUGAAGGAAGUAUGGAGAAAAGAUGGAAAGAUCAAAAAUCGAAUUUGCUCGAUUUGAUCCGAGAAGAGCAAAAUUUCAAGAUUCACUUUGGAACACUAAACUUUUCAUUCAAUGAAUCUCUUUGGUUUACAACCUUGUCUAUUUAUAAUAGUACAUAUUUAAGAAAAGGCGGGAAAAACUAAAAAGAUUGUUUUUCAAUACAUGAGAUAAAUAAAGAAAUUAGAGAUAAAAAGAUAAUUAGAAAUAUAUUUCUCUAAUAACAUAGGUAAUCGUUUUGUUGAUUUGAAUUCUUCGACGGUUGCUCCUUCGGAUGACGUUAUUGACUGAAAUCUCUGAUGGUUGUUCUUCGAUGGUUUGAUCUUUGAUCAGUUCUUCAUGUAAAAACUUAAACUAACAGAGAGUUUAAUUUGUGGACCAGUUCAGAUUUAUUCUAAAGAUCUUAACUUAGAGAAGAAAUAGAUGCGGCACAAACAAGAUUGAAUUGAUUGACCCAUUUAUAUUUAUUUUAAGAAGUGAACAUAAACAUGCCCAAUUGAGUCAAAGAAUAAGAAACCUGAAUGUGAAAUAGUAUGAAAGAAAAAAUAGAAGUUCAACAUGAUUUGAAAGAAAAAUUAGACAUUGAAUGGACAGAGUAGAUUUCUAAUUAACAGUGCCAAAAACUAAUUUUAAACCUAUCUAACAAUAAUUUUAGAACAAUCUAAAAUUGAAACAGAAAUGAACUGAAUGAAGAAAUCUGUAAUGAAUAGAAUACGAAUCCUAAUGGAAACCAAACCAUACCUGAAAUGAAGGACAAUACCAAUGAAAUGUACGGAAGAAGAAAGUCUGAUGAUCAGGAAUCGAUGCACGAGAAUCUGAAGAAAGAUGAGUUCUUAUAAGCUUUCUUUCCUUUGGACCAGUGGAUAUUUAAUCCAGGGGAAUAAAGUACCCUUGGAUUAAAUGAUGUAGUUCGUUUAAACCUGUAAACAAAAAGGCAUUGAAUUUUUUUAAAAACUUACCUUAUAUUGUUUUUGCAGAUAUUGGCUUUCCCAGGCGUCGGUUCAUCUUUCCCAAGGGUAAAUGUCGACUUGUUUUAUAAAUUAACACGGAUAGGGGCACCCCAAUCCGUGUUUCACACCAAUCCCUGUCAACUUAAUUACUUAAUACAAUUG
rnacentral:lncRNA from 1 species